AUGUUCUGGUCCAGAUGGUCCUUUUUGAGGGCUCUCCUGUGCAUGGUAGAGCAGCAUCCUUGGCCUUACCCCGUUGAUGCCAAGAACACCCCCUUUCACUGUGAUGACCAAGCACGUCCUCAGACAAAUGGAUCCAGGUUUGGUCUGAGUAGGAGCCCUGCUGCGCUGAGCCUAGAGCCCACUCACUGCCUGUGCCCUGGCCGCAGCCUGAGAUCGUCCACACCCCCUCUCACUGGAAAGAUGGUGAUGUGCUGCACCACAUGGAAAAUUAAAGGCUGCAUCUCAGUACGGCAAAGCACAAAGCCUGGGGUGGAUUUGAAACAAAGGUACCGGAACUGGGUGACACUGAUAGCCCUGCGUUGGAUCUCUAAUGGAUACAAUUUAGUAUUUCUCCUUUGGGGUUUAUGAAGGGCUCAGGAAGCAAGCAGAAUGUAUUUACCCA
rnacentral:lncRNA from 1 species